CCCACAAGCUAAACUAAACCCACUGCCACCUCCAAAUUCUUGCUUCAUUAACAUAUCCAUUUUUCUAAAGUACGCCCAUUUGCUAUUAUUAACACCUUUUGCCUUCUCUUUUUUAUAUUUUCUCUUCAAAACAUCCAUCAUUAGUUUACACUGAGCUUCUGUUCUCUUGAUUUUUGAUGACUCCGACACUUUCUCUGCUACCUCGACCCAGUCAUCGGAUCUUAGGCUGUUCCUGCCCAAUUGCAAGAACCUAUCUCCCCAAACCUCCAAAAGCACGAAUUUCUCGUGCUCACUCCAAUCCGGGGAGAAAUUACCGUCCUCAUACGACAACAAUCUCCCACUUCUCGGAACGAAUUCAUAAUUGGAAACGGAGCUUUUCAGCUUUUGCCUCUUCGGGUAUCUAU
rnacentral:misc_RNA from 1 species